UGAGUUGUCCCACAAAGAACAC
rnacentral:miRNA from 3 species